AGUCAGGCAGACGUGAUUGGACAGCACUGAGCUGUCUCUCUCCCUGCCCAGCAUCACCAGCUCUCUCCCUGGCCAGCGUACUGAUACCUGACCCCUCCUCCUGCCGGAGCUUGCAGCCGCCGGGUACCAAUAUUUCAACCCCCCACCCCCACCUUUACCGGAGCUUGCAGCCGCGGGAACAUAUACUUGUGUGCGCACAGGGUAGGGGGGGCUGGAGCGGACUGGCACCCCUGAUGUCCGGCACUCCCCACUGACACACGCCGGAUGACGAUUACUACCCCCUCCCCGCUGCCGCCUGUUAGGACUGCAUUACUGCCCGGCUGGCAGCCGCCCGGGAUAAUCACAGGUGUCCCACAUCAAUAUACGCAGGGGAAGUUUGGUCUGCCGGUACUCCAGGACUGUUUGCUGGCAGGCCGGUGCCUCUUGGUUGCCGUGCUCCCCUGCAAUGUGGACUAACUGCAACUGCUGCUGCUCUAGCCUGAGCCGCCGUGGGUUGCUAUGCAGUGUAUGUAUAGUAUAAUGGUGGAGUCUGCUGGGGAAGCAUUAUGUUCUGACACAGAAGCAGCAGGCAGUGCGGGAGAGCAGCAGUGCCUGGCGUACGGGCAGGUGUUGAGUGUGCAGGGGCUUUGUGCAGUGGCUGAUCUGGAUGUCAGAUAGAUGGCACCCAUCAUGAUACUCCCAUCCAAUGUGGCUCGGCUGGUGCUGGAAAUGAAGAGUAAAAAGAAGUGUUGAGGGAAGCAACGGCUGACUAAGUUUUAAUUGUUUGUAUAAAUUCAUUUGAAUAGACCUCCACAAUUACCAAUUUGUGUGAUUAGAUAAUUAAUCUGAUCUGGGUUGAAUUGAGUAUGCAUGAUGAUUGGCUGUAGUAGUCACGUGAUUCCCGACAGUGAAGUUAAAUACCUGAUGGGGAGGAAGAUGCGGCACUAUCUGACGAAGAGGGAAGUCCCUUGAAACGCAUUCUAGCUUCUGCCGCUACUGACCAGACCAGAGGGAGAUCCGAAGAGUCAGAGACAUUGGAGCUCCUGCUAUUAUACCAUCCAGUCCAUGUCUGCAGCCGGAUUGAGCAGGGCAUUUCACUCUGUACUGCUUAUGGGUCUACCUGUAUGGUGAAAAUCUACCAGUGUUUUAAGUGUUUAUUAAAACUUUUUGGACAUCAAAGCAGUGUGGAAGCACCUGGAUCCUUACUGAAGGAUACCUUUAUGGGAACU